rnacentral:rRNA from 1 species
UAGUACGGCGAGUAAGCGGAAAGAGCUCAAGCUUAAAAUCUCCGUGCAAGUUUUGUGCGGCGAAUUGUAGUCUAUAGAAGCGUGGUCAGCAUGGGCACUUGGGGCAAGUUCCUUGGAAGAGGACAGCAUGGAGGGUGAUACUCCCGUUCAUUUCUGAGUUGCUCGUGCGUACGACCCGUUUUCUUUGAGUCGCGUUGUUUGGGAAUGCAGCGCAAAGUAGGUGGUAAAUUCCAUCUAAAGCUAAAUAUUGGUGCGAGACCGAUAGCGAACAAGUACCGUGAGGGAAAGAUGAAAAGAACUUUGAAAAGAGAGUUAAAGAGUACCUGAAACUGCUGAAAGGGAACCGAAUCGUUUCCAGUGUCUAUAAUCCGUGGUAUAUUUCAUUGGCGAGUGUGUGCGUGCGUGUGCUGUGGCAGCGGCUUUUUUGGCUGCGCUCGGCGUGUGUGCUGUGUGUGCUUGCUGGUGCUCUGUGCUGCGGUGGGACGUCAAGGUCAGUUCGUAUGCUGCGGGAAAUGGCUGCCGAGGAGGUAGGGCUUACGCUUGCGUUUGUCUGUUAUAUCUUGGUGGACGAGUAGUCGCGGUUGGGACUGAGGUGCCUACAACGUGCUUUUGAGUGGGUUUGUGUCUCCGUGUGCGCCGUGUGCGGAUAGCUUGCUAUGCGUGUGUGGUUGUGUGUGGAUUGAUGCGAGCUUUAACUUGUUGCCGUUCGGGACGUUGACGAAAUGGAGCGAUUCGACCCGUCUUGAAACACGGACCAAGGAGUCUAACAUGUGUGCAAGUGUUAGGGUGUGGAAACCCCAGCGCGAAAUGAAAGUGAAGGGCAGCGUAAGUUGUCUGAGGUAGSAAAUGCUGCGGGCUUCGGUCUGCGGUGUGGCACUAUCGACCGAUCAUGAACCUUCGUGGUGAAAGAUUUGAGUUUGAGCACAUAUGUUGGUACCCGAAAGAUGGUGAACUAUGCCUGAG